AUGACUCGUGUAGGAAUUACUAAGGAGACUAAAGAAACAAGAACAACAACGACUAAUUCAUCCGCCAAUAUAUCCCCGUAAAUUCAAAAACUAAGCGAUAAUGGUUUUGUGAAAUCUUCUAGGAUGUUAAUUGGUAAAAGGAUAGGAGUUGGUUUAAUAUAUUUAUUGAAAUAG
rnacentral:rRNA from 1 species